GAUGAACGCUGGCGGCGUGCCUAAUACAUGCAAGUCGAGCGAACAGACGAGGAGCUUGCUCCUCUGACGUUAGCGGCGGACGGGUGAGUAACACGUGGAUAACCUACCUAUAAGACUGGGAUAACUUCGGGAAACCGGAGCUAAUACCGGAUAAUAUAUUGAACCGCAUGGUUCAAUAGUGAAAGACGGUUUUGCUGUCACUUAUAGAUGGAUCCGCGCCGCAUUAGCUAGUUGGUAAGGUAACGGCUUACCAAGGCAACGAUGCGUAGCCGACCUGAGAGGGGGAUCGGCCACACUGGAACUGAGACACGGUCCCGACUCCUACGGGAGGCAGCAGUAGGGAAUCUUCCGCAAUGGGCGAAAGCCUGACGGAGCAACGCCGCGUGAGUGAUGAAGGUCUUCGGAUCGUAAAACUCUGUUAUUAGGGAAGAACAAAUGUGUAAGUAACUAUGCACGUCUUGACGGUACCUAAUCAGAAAGCCACGGCUAACUACGUG
rnacentral:rRNA from 1 species